GGUUCUAUUUUGUCGGUUUUCUGAACCCGAGGUAAUGACUAAUAGGAACAGGCGGGGGCAUUCGUAUUGCGACGCUAGAGGUGAAAUUCUUGGACCGUCGCAAGACGAACUACUGCGAAAGCAUUUGCCAAGGAUGUUUUCAUUAAUCAAGAACGAAAGUUAGAGGUUCGAAGGCGAUCAGAUACCGCCCUAGUUCUAACCAUAAACGAUGCUGACCAGCGAUCCGCCGG
rnacentral:rRNA from 1 species